UACGUAGGGGACAAGCGUUGUCCGGAUUUAUUGGGCGUAAAGAGCGUGUAGGCGGCCAGAUAAGUCCGCUGUGAAAUCUCGAGGCUCAACUUCGAGCUGUCGGUGGAAACUAUCUGGCUAGAGUCCGGAAGAGGAGAAUGGAAUUCCUGGUGUAGCGGUGAAAUGCGCAGAUAUCAGGAAGAACACCCGUGGCGAAGGCGGCUCUCUGGGACGGUACUGACGCUGAGACGCGAAAGCGUGGGGAGCGAACAGG
rnacentral:rRNA from 1 species